ACUUGCUCAAAUUGGGUUCUAAAUUUCAGAUCUGGAACUGAGUCUUCCUCAAAACUCAAAGCUAUCCUUCCCUCGUAAUCCCCGCUGCUUCUACCGUCUCUCCCGCCGACGUUCUAUCUUGUCAAGUCGAGACUAUCCUCCGCUUUCACCUCCUUGACUAGGUGGCGGGUUACAUGACGCACCUCCACCACUUCCACCAAGACCUCUCAACUCCGGCGAUCCUUUUGCCGCGGCGACGAUUACGCGAUGUUGAUGAUGGAAUGAUGAGAUGGAAGGACAUCUGAUGAUGAUGAUACAAGGAGUGUUGAGAUGAAAAGACAAUCUGAUGAUGCGAGGAAGUAUUACGGCGGCAGCAAAGAGAUGAUGGUUGCAAUUAUUUUAUCUGCAUGUGUUUACGAUUACGAUUACGAUUAUCUGUGUGUCCUUUAUUUAAUUUUACAUUCUUCACCAUGGAAGAUUCCAAUUAAGAUCCCAUAAACUUGACCGAUUUCUGUUUUCUGGUGGUCUGUUUGUUGAAGUUUUAGUGUUUUAGCCGCGGCUGCAGCUGCGGCCAUUAUGGUGGCUGUGCUAUUUGGCAGAGGUAGUCACGAGGAUCGGGUUUCCCUCUUUUUUUGUCAUAUAGUACUUGGUACGGAGUAGUUGGUACUGGGAGAAGGGGAAGAAUCGAAAGCAUCAUGAUACCUGUUGACACAUUGAUGGAUGAUCAUCAUUUCCCGGCAAUGCUAGCAAAUCGAUAUAUCUUGGCUCGAUCACUACAUAGUUUGGUAGCUUCUCCUUUUUGCAGUGACGCUUGAAGCUCAGAUCAAAAGGUAUUUCUCCUUCUUGUUUCUUGUGUCCCUCUAGUGAUGUGUGGGAGAAAUCGCUCUUAUGAUUUUGGAUGCGCCCAAGGCUUCUUUCCUAGCGCUCUUUUUUUUUUUGGCUUGCCUAAAAAAUGAAUAAAGAUGAACUGCUAGCUUGUAUGACAGUAGCGUGGGCGUUUAGAAAUUCGGUGGUGUUUAAUGAAUCCUGCAACAGGGCAUUGUGGGAUUUCUGAAACUUGUUAAUGACUACAAGGAAUACGCUUGUGCUGUGUUCAGGAAGCCAAAGGAACAGGUGGGGGGCUCGAGGUCUUGCUGGCAUGCUCCUGCUAUGCAGCAAUUAUGGUGGCUCUUGGGGCUGUAAUUCGGGGAGGUUGUUGCUGUUGGGGUGAGGAGAUACAAAGCCUGCUGGAGGGUGGAGCUGACAGAAGCAAUGGCUGCAAGGUUUGGGAUGAAGCUUAGUGAGUGUGAUGCGAGCAAAAUAGUGAUGGCUGUGUGUGAUAAAAGAAUUGGAACAACACCUUUUGAUCUGAUCAUUGGAGAUGUCUGUAGUCUAAGUGAAAGUUUUGUUUCUUUCUCUUGCACUCAUGUACGCAGGUCCGGAAAUACCGUGGCCCAUUUAGCUGCUAGAUUGCUACCCAUUGAUGGAAGGUGGGAAUGGGUGAGGCGAUGGCAGCUCCAUUUGGCUAAGAGAUUGAACUACAAUCAAGUAAUACUCCAAUGCGAUGCACUGAACGUAGUGAAGCCUGUGAAUGCAGGCAGAUUUGGAAGAACUUCCUUGGAUCUAUUGCUUGAGGAUGAAUGCCUUUGCUCAUUUAGCGGUGAGAUUACCAAGGCUCCCUUUUUUUUUCAAAAAAGAGUAAAGAGUAAACAGAGAGAGGGAGUAAAGAGGAGCUUCAUAAUGAAAUGAAUGGAGUGUUAUUUCAUGAGGUUGAGGACAAACCACAAAGACGAAACCAUUGGUGCCAACUGUUUCACUUAAUUUGUAAUUGGGGUGGAACUGUCAUUGAUGGCGAAGAAGAAAGAGAGCAUUCACUCGACUGCAACAGAGCAAAUGCCAACACCAGUAACAGCAAAAGCAACAGCAACAGACCCGCCAGGGAAAGAGUUUGUGCCAACCGUACCAGUCUAGUGAUUCGCCUGAUUCUCGUAUUCAACCUGGUCAUCGCUGGAUGAGAUGGAGAUGGAGAUGUAUUGCCAUCGGAUAAGGGAUCUUAUGAAUGGUUUUAUGCAGGUGUUGAGCUAAUACCAUUCCGUGAAUUGAUAAACGACUUCAAGUGUAUUAGGAGAGUUUCUUUGUUCAAUUCCAUAAGGAUGGAGGAUGCUAUUAACAGGACAAUCAACAGCUUAUUCCACUUUUUAACAAAUUGAUUCGAGCCUUUCUUGAUGCUGCUAUGUUGUGGUCAAUAUAACAUUGCAUCAAAAAAGGCUCAAGUCAAUUUGUUGAUAAUACUGAGAAUAUUGCGGCACAGGAGGUAGAGUUAGUGGUUUUAGAAGACGUGGUCGGGGUUGAGGUGGUUUAUUAGGAGGACUUGUAAGCUCUUUGGUGGAUGCGCUUACAGCAAGCCUCAAGGUAGGCUAUAGCUGGCAAAAAAAACUAGGUGCAAAGGACCGUCAAACAAACCUGUGUUGGGCUGCUUACAAAUGUUACGUCAAUAUAAGUUGAGAAUGUGUUGCUAAUAUUGAUUGAGGUAAUGCCACCUAAAAUUUCUAAAGAUAAGAAUAAGCCUAAAGCGCAGCUGAAGGGAGAGGUGAAAGUGGGUGAUAUAUUUCAUAUAGAGGAUGUACAAGACAGAGAUAGAUUUCUUAUUCAUCUAGAUGAAUCGGAUUUGAAGUUGCCUUUGAAGUUCUUGUCUGAACUUAUAAUGAUGAGAUACUGUUGUGCAUAUUGUUUAUGCCAAA